GACGAACGCUGGCGGCGUGCUUAACACAUGCAAGUCGAACGGAAAGGCCUGCUUUCCCUUGUGUAUUGCGGGUACUCGAGUGGCGAACGGGUGAGUAACACGUGAGUGAUCUGCCCCCAACUUGGGUAUAAGCCUGGGAAACUGGGUCUAAUUCCCGAUAGGACUGCAGGGUGGUGCCUGUGGUGGAAAACGAUUUUCUAGUGGUUGGGGAUGAGCUCGCGGCCUAUCAGCUUGUUGGUGGGGUAAUGGCCUACCAAGGCGGCGACGGGUAGCCGGCCUGAGAGGGUGGACGGCCACAUUGGGACUGAGAUACGGCCCAGACUCCUACGGGAGGCAGCAGUGGGGAAGAAUGCACAAUGGGCGGAAGCCUGAUGCAGCGACGCCGCGUGAGGGAUGACGGCCUUCGGGUUGUAAACUCCUUUCGACCGCGAGGAAGCCACCUGGUUGGAAGGGUGGUGACGGUAGUGGUAGAAGAAGCACCGGCUAACUACGUG
rnacentral:rRNA from 1 species